GUUUGAUUGGCACAGUACCAUUGUGCCGGGUGAUUCAAUUCUCAAAUCUUUGAGAAGAGUUUUGAGCCAAAUAAACUCAUUAGUGAGCUUCUUCAUAUGAUUCAAUCGAUUCGAUUUUUUUAAAAAAAUAUUAUGAUAAUUUCUUUUGUGUUUGAGAAAAAAAUCUUGGGCGACAAUGUUAAUCAUUUGAAUAUGUUGUAUAACUAUAACCUCAUUGGCUACGCAUGACAUAUAGCAUUUUUCGUUAUUGCUGGAAUUAUUUAAAAUAACAUAAAGAUAUAUUUGAAAACAUCUAUACUAAAAGUGAAUGAGUUAGCAGCAGCUUGUAUACAUAUAUUUUCGAUAACAAUAACAAAUGUGAAAUUUUAACAUACUACUAGAUGUUCUAGGGUUAACAAAUGUCAAACAUCUAUACAUAAAGAUAUAUUUGAAAACAUUUAUACUAAAAGUGAAUGAGCUAGGGUUAACUAAUCUAGAAUUAAAAUUUAAAUUUGAGAGGUGGGUAGGGUUUUUAGAAUGUGAAAUAUAGGAUUUUAUUAAAUAUAUAAAUAAAUAUUUAAUUUUUUUUUUAAAUAGUUUCAAAAAUAAUUUUUGAUUUUCAAAAAAUAAUUUUGAAAAUAAAAACAAAUUUCAAAAAACAAA
rnacentral:lncRNA from 1 species